rnacentral:rRNA from 1 species
GAUGAACGCUGGCGGCGUGCCUAAUACAUGCAAGUCGAGCGAACGGACGAGAAGCUUGCUUCUCUGAUGUUAGCGGCGGACGGGUGAGUAACACGUGGAUAACCUACCCAUAAGACUGGGAUAACUUCGGGAAACCGGAGCUAAUACCGGAUAAUAUUUUGAACCGCAUGGUUCAAAAGUGAAAGACGGUCUUGCUGUCACUUAUAGAUGGAUCCGCGCUGCAUUAGCUAGUUGGUAAGGUAACGGCUUACCAAGGCAACGAUGCAUAGCCGACCUGAGAGGGUGAUCGGCCACACUGGAACUGAGACACGGUCCAGACUCCUACGGGAGGCAGCAGUAGGGAAUCUUCCGCAAUGGGCGAAAGCCUGACGGAGCAACGCCGCGUGAGUGAUGAAGGUCUUCGGAUCGUAAAACUCUGUUAUUAGGGAAGAACAUAUGUGUAAGUAACUGUGCACAUCUUGACGGUACCUAAUCAGAAAGCCACGGCUAACUACGUGCCAGCAGCCGCGGUAAUACGUAGGUGGCAAGCGUUAUCCGGAAUUAUUGGGCGUAAAGCGCGCGUAGGCGGUUUUUUAAGUCUGAUGUGAAAGCCCACGGCUCAACCGUGGAGGGUCAUUGGAAACUGGAAAACUUGAGUGCAGAAGAGGAAAGUGGAAUUCCAUGUGUAGCGGUGAAAUGCGCAGAGAUAUGGAGGAACACCAGUGGCGAAGGCGACUUUCUGGUCUGUAACUGACGCUGAUGUGCGAAAGCGUGGGGAUCAAACAGGAUUAGAUACCCUGGUAGUCCACGCCGUAAACGAUGAGUGCUAAGUGUUAGGGGGUUUCCGCCCCUUAGUGCUGCAGCUAACGCAUUAAGCACUCCGCCUGGGGAGUACGACCGCAAGGUUGAAACUCAAAGGAAUUGACGGGGACCCGCACAAGCGGUGGAGCAUGUGGUUUAAUUCGAAGCAACGCGAAGAACCUUACCAAAUCUUGACAUCCUUUGACAACUCUAGAGAUAGAGCCUUCCCCUUCGGGGGACAAAGUGACAGGUGGUGCAUGGUUGUCGUCAGCUCGUGUCGUGAGAUGUUGGGUUAAGUCCCGCAACGAGCGCAACCCUUAAGCUUAGUUGCCAUCAUUAAGUUGGGCACUCUAAGUUGACUGCCGGUGACAAACCGGAGGAAGGUGGGGAUGACGUCAAAUCAUCAUGCCCCUUAUGAUUUGGGCUACACACGUGCUACAAUGGACAAUACAAAGGGCAGCGAAACCGCGAGGUCAAGCAAAUCCCAUAAAGUUGUUCUCAGUUCGGAUUGUAGUCUGCAACUCGACUACAUGAAGCUGGAAUCGCUAGUAAUCGUAGAUCAGCGUGCUACGGUGAAUACGUUCCCGGGUCU